UUCAUGGAGAGUUUGAUCCUGGCUCAGGACGAACGCUGGCGGCGUGCCUAAUACAUGCAAGUCGAGCGGACCGACGGGAGCUUGCUCCCUUAGGUCAGCGGCGGACGGGUGAGUAACACGUGGGUAACCUGCCUGUAAGACUGGGAUAACUCCGGGAAACCGGGGCUAAUACCGGAUGCUUGAUUGAACCGCAUGGUUCAAUUAUAAAAGGUGGCUUUUAGCU
rnacentral:rRNA from 1 species